AUUAAUUAUUGUUUCUGUGCAGCCCGGUAGCAAACGCUUGGUUGGGGACCACUGAUGUACAGCAUUUACCUUGGAACUCGCAUGGCUGCAGUUUGUGUGUCCCCAAGAUGCAAGAACCAGGAGGAGGAUGUGCAGUUUCACAAAUUCCUCAAUAAACUCGCCAAGACGUCACCGUGGAGUUAUUGAGUCUGUUUAGCUGUUUAGCAGCUAGUGGGUCCAUGAUGACUUCUGCUUGAAAACAAUUAAGCAAAUUUUGUAGGUAUACACCGCAGUCCGUGGCGACUUGUCCAGGGUGUACCCCGCCUUCCGCCUGAAUGCAGCUAAGUCUCCCUCUCGCAACACCCCUCCCAAAAGUACAAGAAAUACUUCUCUUGGUCUUAUUGAUGUGUCUCUCCUCCCAUCUGCAGCUUAAACACACACAAAGCUAUAAUGGGUUUUGGGUGAUCCUUGGCUCUUCAUCGGAAGCACAAAGAGAGAAAAAGGACAAAGUUUAAUUGGGAAGAGGCUUUCAUUUUGGCGAUGACAGCAGAG